CUGACGGUCUCGCUUGCUUUUGGGUACCUCGUAGCGCAGUGGGAGCGUGCUCGGUUCACCACCGGGAGGCCCAGGGUUCGAUUCCCGGGCGGGGAGAAACAGAUGGGCGCGUUUCGCACACCCGAUGCCCCUGUUAACCUAGCAGUAGAAGUAGGGACCUGGUGUCAGACAGGAGUGGUGCCCCUGCUGCCAGGGGAUGGUGCCAGGCUGCACAGUAAGUGUGGACUUAAAAGUGCUGGUCAAUCAUGUGAAAAGUCUCGUGGAGAUGCCCCUAGAGAAAUAAGAUAAAAGGGUAUAUUCAUCUAGCUCCCCCCGGUGUGGUGUAACCGGAGGAGAAUUCCUGCAGUAGACAGGACAGGCUUACCCCCACGAUGACUACGUUGCAUUUGACAGAAUUGCAGAAAUUGAUAGAAGUGCAAAAGUGUGAAUGCGGAAGCACGAAUGCAGUAGUUUGAAUGCAGUAAUUACGAAACCAGCACUGAAAAAGCAGCAACAAUGCCGGAGGCUGUGUGUGAAACCCAGGUGAUUCAAAAACAUCCAGCCUCAUUCUCAGUCUACGCUAGUAACUACAGGAGGAUAGACGUGUCCUUCUCCUCUGACUGGAAGUCAGGCCUUUGUCGUCCCACGGUGGUUGGACCAUCUUCAUAUAUCACGACACAUGUUCAAGCCUCCAGGAUUCAAGAUUGGCUGAGUCAUGUGACCAAGUCUCCCCGCUCACAAGUGCUGCCCUGACGCAAGAUAAAUAUGAGUAUUUUCGGAAACCAACAUUUACUUUAAUCUGAUUUUGGCCAGCUUCCCCCUAUUGGGAGAGAUAGGAUUGGUCCAUGUGCGGACAAACUGCAUUUA